rnacentral:rRNA from 1 species
AACUAUGUGCCAGCAGCUGCGGUAAUACAUAGGUCGCGAGCGUUAUUCGGAUUUAUUGGGCGUAAAGCAAGCGCAGGCGGAUGGCUAAGUUCUAUGUUAAAAGCGGCUGCUCAACAGUCGUUUGCAUAGAAUACUAGCCGUCUAGAAUAUGGUAGGAAGUUUUGGAAUUAAAUAUGGAGCGGUGGAAUGUGUAGAUAUAUUUAAGAACACCAGAGGCGAAGGCGAAAACUUAGGCCAUUAUUGACGCUUAGGCUUGAAAGUGUGGGUAGCAAAUGGGAUUAGAUACCCCAGUAGUCCACACCGUAAACGAUGGGUAUUGGGUGUCGGGGCUUGAGCCUCGGUGCUGUAGCUUACGUGUUAAAUACCCCGCCUGGGUAGUACAUAUGCAAAUAUGAAACUCAAAGGAAUUGACGGGGACCUGAACAAGUGGUGGAACAUGUUGCUUAAUUCGAUAAUACACGAAAAACCUUACCAAGGUUUGACAUCCCUCGCAAACCCAUAGAAAUAUGGCGGAGGUUAUCGAGGUGACAGGUGGUGCAUGGUUGUCGUCAGCUCGUGUCAUGAGAUGUUUGGUUAAGUCCCGCAACGAGCGCAACCCUACUCUUUAGUUACUUUUCUAAAGAGACUGAACAGUAAUGUAUAGGAAGGUUGGGAUCACGUCAAAUCAUCAUGCCCCUUAUGCCUUGGGCCGCAAACGUGUUACAAUGGCGAGUACAAUGUGUCGCAAUCUAGCGAUAGUGAGCUAAUCACUAAAACUCGUCUCAGUCCGGAUAAAAGGCUGCAAUUCGCCUUUUUGAAGUUGGAAUCACUAGUAAUCCCGUGUCAGCUAUAUCGGGGUGAAUACGUUCCCAGGUCUUGUACAC